UUAUACCUUAUUCCGUACGAUGUUCAGAUGGAAGAACAUAUACGAUAUAAAUAAGGAUAAAUAAUAUAAUAGAAUUGUCAUGUUUUUACUUUGAGAUCAAAGCUGUCAAAACGUGUGCUUCCUGAAACGACGUCUUUGUUUGUUCGGAUACUAGACACCAAAGGAAUCACCGUCAACGGAGCUAGACGAUAUAAUACUUUCUCUUUGCUUCUUCCCUCGAAAGCUCGAGUUCUUUCUACCUAAAGUAAAAAUAUUGUCAAGAGUUGACGAUUGCGAAAAACAAUAGAUGCGGUCAUCUUCGUCGUCGUAAAAGCGGUAUGCUUUUUUCAACAUUACUUUCGCCACGGUCUAGUGUCUAUAGUAACAUCAAUAACAUGGCACGCUUUCGGCGGUAAAAUAACCUCUCGUUUUUUAAAAGGAAAGAAAAUAAUAACAAAAUUUCAACAAACCAUCCGCAAAAUUUGUUUUCUCAGGAAAUAUUUUAAUAUAUGAAUUAUAAAUUGAUAUCAAUGGGUGUUUGUGCAAGAAAAGCCGAUUUUCGUUCAACUAUUCCUUUUUACGGAUGGCAAGGAUGGAGUUUUUUAACCUUUCUCGCUAUCGUCGUUUUAAUCGGCGUUAUUUACAACAAUUAUUUGCGCAAAUCAUCCUAGAUUUAAUGGAAUCCGCCUGAAAAGAGAUGGAGAUUUGCAUAUUUCAAAGAAUAAACGUACGCCAUCGUCUAUAUACCAACUUGAUUAAGUAUACCGCUUCAAAAAUCAAAGUACUGUUAAAUAAACCUAUGUGAAUUCGACCAUAAUGGGAAUAAGGUAAUUAAACUAACCAAGCAUAGAGAUCCCGCAAAUGGAUGUUGGUAAAGUUACUGGACGUUUCCACACACAUACAGACUCAUAAUAUAUUUUUCUUUCCCUUCGAUAAUCCUAACGGAAGAUAACCUGAUCCUUCGUAUGGAAAAUAAUAUAGAAAAAAAGCUACGAAUAUUUAACGAACCUUUUAAUAUAGGAAUAACAGGGAGAUGUUUGAACAGUAAAAAUAAUAGACGUUAUCAUCGUAGAAAUAAGAUUAAACAUACGUAAUAAAUGCAAUGAAAUGUUAACAUUUACAAAUAUUGUUAAUAUAUUGCACAAACUAUUCUCUCUUAAAUCUGUAUAACGUACACUUUUCGAAUAAAUUAAUUACCUACACAUUUAUUUUAAUUUAAUGCAUAAA